rnacentral:rRNA from 1 species
UACGAAGGGGGCUAGCGUUGUUCGGAAUACUGGGCGUAAAGCGCGCGCAGGCGGUCCUUUAAGUCAGGGGUGAAAGCCCAGAGCUCAACUCUGGAACUGCCUUUGAAACUAGAGGACUUGGGUACGGGAGAGGUGAGUGGAAUUCCGAGUGUAGAGGUGAAAUUCGAUAGAUAUUCGGAAGAACACCAGUGGCGAAGGCGGUUCACUGGCCCGUUCCGACGCUCAGGCGCGACAGCGUGGGGAGCAAGA